UACGUAGGGUCCGAGCGUUGUCCGGAGUUACUGGGCGUAAAGCGCGCGCAGGCGGCGGUGCUGGCCCGGCGUGAAAGCCCCCGGCUCAACCGGGGAGGGUCGUCGGGGACCGCACCGCUUGAGGGCGGUAGGGGCUGGUGGAAUGCCUGGUGUAGUGGUGAGAUGCGUAGAGAUCAGGCGGAACACCCGUGGCGAAGGCGGCCAGCUGGGCCGUCCCUGACGCUGAGGCGCGAAGGCGUGGGGAGCGAACGGG
rnacentral:rRNA from 1 species